UUAAAUUGAAGAGUUUGAUCAUGGCUCAGAUUGAACGCUGGCGGCAGGCCUAACACAUGCAAGUCGAACGGUAACAGGAARCAGCUUGCUGYUUCGCUGACGAGUGGCGGACGGGUGAGUAAUGUCUGGGAAACUGCCUGAUGGAGGGGGAUAACUACUGGAAACGGUAGCUAAUACCGCAUAACGUCGCAAGACCAAAGAGGGGGACCUUCGGGCCUCUUGCCAUCGGAUGUGCCCAGAUGGGAUUAGCUAGUAGGUGGGGUAACGGCUCACCUAGGCGACGAUCCCUAGCUGGUCUGAGAGGAUGACCAGCCACACUGGAACUGAGACACGGUCCAGACUCCUACGGGAGGCAGCAGUGGGGAAUAUUGCACAAUGGGCGCAAGCCUGAUGCAGCCAUGCCGCGUGUAUGAAGAAGGCCUUCGGGUUGUAAAGUACUUUCAGCGGGGAGGAAGGGAGUAAAGUUAAUACCUUUGCUCAUUGACGUUACCCGCAGAAGAAGCACCGGC
rnacentral:rRNA from 1 species